GACGAACGCUGGCGGCGUGCUUAACACAUGCAAGUCGAACGGAAAGGCCCUGCUCUUGUGGGGUGCUCGAGUGGCGAACGGGUGAGUAACACGUGAGUAACCUGCCCUUGACUUUGGGAUAACUUCAGGAAACUGGGGCUAAUACCGGAUAGGAGCUCCUGCUGCAUGGUGGGGGUUGGAAAGUUUCGGCGGUUGGGGAUGUACUCGCGGCUUAUCCGCUUGUUGGUGGGGUAGUGGCUUACCAAGGCUUUGACGGGUAGCCGGCCUGAGAGGGUGACCGGCCACAUUGGGACUGAGAUACGGCCCAGACUCCUACGGGAGGCAGCAGUGGGGAAUAUUGCACAAUGGGCGGAAGCCUGAUGCAGCAACGCCGCGUGCGGGAUGACGGCCUUCGGGUUGUAAACCGCUUUCGCCUGUGACGAAGCGUGAGUGACGGUAAUGGGUAAAGAAGCACCGGCUAACUACGUG
rnacentral:rRNA from 1 species